CCUACGGGAGGCAGCAGUGGGGAAUUUUGGACAAUGGGCGCAAGCCUGAUCCAGCAAUGCCGCGUGCAGGAUGAAGGCCUUCGGGUUGUAAACUGCUUUUGUACGGAACGAAACGGCUCCUAUUAAUACUGGGGGCUAAUGACGGUACCGUAAGAAUAAGCACCGGCUAACUACGUGCCAGCAGCCGCGGUAAUACGUAGGGUGCGAGCGUUAAUCGGAAUUACUGGGCGUAAAGCGUGCGCAGGCGGUUAUAUAAGACAGAUGUGAAAUCCCCGGGCUCAACCUGGGACCUGCAUUUGUGACUGUAUAGCUAGAGUACGGUAGAGGGGGAUGGAAUUCCGCGUGUAGCAGUGAAAUGCGUAGAUAUGCGGAGGAACACCGAUGGCGAAGGCAAUCCCCUGGACCUGUACUGACGCUCAUGCACGAAAGCGUGGGGAGCAACAGAUAGUAUACCUACGUAGUCACGACCCUAACCGACUAGUACACUAGUUGUUGGGUUCGUUCUACU
rnacentral:rRNA from 1 species